CACACCAACUCCAGCACGCGUGACACGUGUGGGCGUGGUCAGGUAUUUAAACGCCAGACAACGAAGGCAAGACAUUUACCUGAGUUCUGACUCGCACUAUCUACACUCACGCCAUGAAAACGCUCGCAGUGAUACUUUUUCUUGGGGUUCUGCUGGGUGUCAGCAAGGCCGCCUCCCUCAGACAGCUGAUCGGACUGUGCGUGGAAGCGUGCUCCACUGUGGAGGCUGACGGCGAGGCCCUCUUUGGCUCUUGUCCAGAGGGAUACGUGUGUAGGUCCAACGGGUGUGGACACACUUGCCAGAAGCCUCUUACAUCAGUAAGUGGAGUCCAAUGCGCUCACCUGAUGUGUCCGGCCAUUUUCUGCUCUGGCGGUUACGAGGUUGCCGAGAAUGGCUGUCCGACCUGCCGGUGUCGCUCAGGGUUGGAGCUGAAGUGAAGACACGGCGCCAGUCGAGUGUCCCUUGCUGCGGUGCCUGGAUAUUUACUGUCCAUCCGGAUACUACAAAGACGCGCAAUGGUUGUCAGACCUGCAGAUGCCAGCCGUUCGUGGAGGCGCUUUAAUCAAAGCACCCGUCGCCACCCUCACUAAAAACCGGUAGUGACGUCACUACACCCUAAUGUCGUCUGCUGUAAGCAACGAGGUGCAAUAAAACGAGCACACUGAC